rnacentral:lncRNA from 1 species
UUCCCAGGCUAGGGGUCUAAUCGAAGCUACAGCUUCCAGUCUGCACCACAGCCACAGCAACACCAGAUCCAAGCCACAUCUGCAACCUACACCACAGCUCAAGGCAACACCGGAUCCUCAACCCACUGAAUGAGGCCAGGGAUCGUACCCGCAACCUCAUAGUUCCUAGUCGGAUUCGUUUCCACUGCGCCAUGACGGGAACUCAAAGAUAAAGUCUCCUAUAAAAGGUCUGGCAGGAGAAACUGACGUUGCAUUUCUAAUAGGCAACGAUUGGACAAACACUGUGGAGAAGAUAUGGUGGUUUUUAGUCUUUUUUUUACAGCUGUUGAAAGCCUUUUGAUGCUACAACUAAAAAAGCUUGAGAAUUAAAGUUAUGAUUUAUUACGUGGAAAGAGAUGUCUGUCAUUCUUAAUUACUUUCCCAACUUUAACGUCCCCUUUCCUACUACAUAAAAUAUUCAAAGAAAAAAGGUCGAGCCAGGCCUUAGAUGUCACGUGGCUGAUUUUGCCAGUCGCCAGCAAACAUUCUGUGUCUGGGCCAACCACUGGGUGCCUAGGGCCUUUCCUGUUCUUUUUGUUUCCUUGAGUCAAUUCCUGUCAGGUGCAAACACUCCAGAAAUGCAGAAUUAGGACAUAGGAACUCAGCCUGAGUCACAGCUAGAAGCCCCCUUCCUCUACAGAGUUCACCAUUAAAAACAAAUGAAACCUCAAUUACAUUUCAAACAAAAAGGCAGGUGGAAGGGUAAGGGGCAGAUGCGGCUUCGGCACCAGCUAGAGAUGCUCGGGCAGAAGAGAUAUCAGUAAAAAACCUCAGAGAGCCGAGAAGUUUGGGGUACAGCCACCACGCCUCCUAGGUGACAACGCUGACACGCAUCGCACAUCGCGUCCGGUUACUUCCUGCCCAUUCUGCAGGUGCCAGGUGGAGACAGGCACACAGCCUGGGGCAGAAUCCAGAAAUGGACGGAGACAUAGGGCAGGUCCGGGGCGUGAGUGGCGAGGAGGCGAGCUUAUUACAAGAUGGGCAGUUUUGCAGGCAGCACAACUUGGAAAGCUCUGGUUUCUCCCAACAGCUGCCCCCAGGCCUGUUCCUCCUCUGGCUCCCCAGAGAAAGAAGAUGUGUGAUCCAGUGUCACCACGUUCCUACCCGCCUGCCAUGAGCAAAUGGGGGAGGGGGUCUCAUGGAGUCUGGGGUGGGGGAGGGGGUUGAGAGAACAAAGCCAGGAAGGUUCAGGGAUGGUAUGAAAUGAAGCUUCAGUGAACGAGGAGUGAGAGCAAACCUGAAAAUGAUCAUCAUGAAAAUGGUUAUUCAAUAAAGACUGCACGCUCAUCAGACAGAGAAACCCAAAUACCAUGAGAUCACCAACAUGGGGGCUCUAGUAAAAAAUGAUACAGGAGUUCCCGUUGCGGCACAGCAGAAACGAAUCCGACUAAGAACCAUGAGGUUGCGGGGUCCAUCCCUGGCCUUGUUCUGGGGGGCUAAGGAUCCGGUGUUGCUGUGAGCUGUGGUGUAGGUUGCAGACGCGGCUCGGAUCCCGCGUUGCUGUGGCUCUGGUGUAGGCCGGUGGCUGCAGCUCCGAUUGGACCCCUAGCCUGGGAACCUCCAUUUGCUGUGGGUGUGGCCCUAAAAAGGACAAAAGGACCCCCCCCAAAAAAAUGAUACAAAAGAACAUAUUCACACAACAGACUCCAAGAUUUCAAAACCAAAUUUAUGGUUACCAAAGGGAAACUUGGCGGAGGGGGGGGGAAUUAGGAGGUUUGGAUUAAUAUAUAUACACACUACUAGAAAUAAAAGAGAUAAGGAACAAGGACCCACUGAAUAGCCCAGGGAAAUCUACUCAAUAUUCUGUAAUAAUCUAUAUGAGAAAACAAUCUGAGAAGAAAUGGAUAUAUGUAUAUGGAGAACUGAUCCAGAUUGUUGUGCCCUUGAAUCUAACAAAACAUUGUAAGUCAACUAUGCUCCAAUAAAAUGUUUAAAAUAAAUAGAUAGGAGUUCCCAUUACAGCUCAGCAGUUAAUGAACCCGAUCAGUAUCCAUGAGGACUCGGGUUCCAUCUCUGGCCUCGCUCAGUGGGUUAAGGAUCGUUAAGGUCCCGGUGUUGCCGUGAGCUGUGGUGUAGGUCACAGACUCGGCUCAGAUCCCACGUUGCUGUGGCUGUGGUGUAGGCUGGCGGCUACAGCUCCAAUUGGACCCCUAGCCCGGGAACCGCCAUAUGCCUUGGGUGGGGUCCUAAAAAUAAAAAUAAAUAAAUAAAAUAAAAAUAAAGACUGUUAACUCAGAAUAAGGUAGGAAGAAAACCCAGAGCCUACAAAGUGAGGGGACGUUAAUGCAGCAGCACUGAACGCAGUGUGAACGGGACUCAGAUAAAAUCUGUUUAUGAGCCUUUCUUUACAGCUGUCGCCUAGAGAGCCAUAUAAACCGGAGCCACAUAAACUGGAGGCAAUCAGGUUUUCCAAAGUGACACACGUGUUAUGUGAUCUUAGGAUGGUCUUCACGUUUCAGACAGAGGCAUGUUUUAUUUCUAGAAGGUACCAACUAGAAAGCGGGGGUGAGUGUCUUUUUCAGAAUUUGUGGCCACGGAAUUUGGUGAUUGCCUUAUUCAUCAAAGCUACACGAAGCAGUCACUUACGAAGUCUCUUUGAGAAACCUCAAAUAAUAAAUUCUACUGCAAAAUUCAGCUGGAGGCCACCAGCUUCACCAAACUCCCAGCGCAGCGGGUACCUGUCCUGUGGCCCUAAAACUUCUCUACCUCAAGGAAAGAGCACAACAGUGACUUUAAAUCAAAGCAUCUUUGCUUCUUCAGGGAGAUAAAACGUCAUUGGUUAUUCUGUAAGAAUCUCUUCACUAAAUUUUUCUUUGAAUAAGAAGCACUCAUCAGAAAACCAGGGU